rnacentral:pre_miRNA from 1 species
CAUAUACUCCUCCGUCCGAAAAAGCUUGUCCCAAGCUUGUCCCUCAAAUGGAUGUAUCUAGCACUAACUUGAUGCUAGAUACAUCCAUUUGAGGGACAAACUUUUUCGGACGGAGGGAGUAUAUA